rfam:Apaloderma vittatum contig69895, whole genome shotgun sequence.
GGCUGGUUAGCUCAGUCAGUUGAGUGUGGUGCUGACAAUGCCAAGGACGUGGGUUCGAGUCCCGUUUGGUCCC